ACGCUCGACACCUACGGGAGGCAGCAGUGGGGAAUAUUGCACAAUGGGGGAAACCCUGAUGCAGCGACGCCGCGUGAGCGAAGAAGUAUUUCGGUAUGUAAAGCUCUAUCAGCAGGGAAGAAACUGACGGUACCUGACUAAGAAGCACCGGCUAAAUACGUGCCGGCAGCCGCGGUAAUCUGAGCGGCUGGCAAGGC
rnacentral:rRNA from 1 species